rnacentral:tRNA from 1 species
GCCGGGGUGGCCGAACGGUUCAGGCGGCGGGCUGCAGACCCGCAGUACGUGGGUUCAAUUCCCACCCCCGGCUCCA